UACGUAGGUGGCAAGCGUUGUCCGGAUUUACUGGGCGUAAAGAGCGCGCAGGCGGUCGUUCAAGUCGCGUGUGAAAGCCCCCGGCUCAACUGGGGAGGGUCACGCGAUACUGAUCGACUGGAAGGCAGGAGAGGGUAGUGGAAUUCCCGGUGUAGUGGUGAAAUGCGUAGAUAUCGGGAGGAACACCAGUGGCGAAGGCGACUACCUGGCCUGUUCUUGACGCUGAGCGCGAAAGCUAGGGAGCAACGGG
rnacentral:rRNA from 1 species